rnacentral:lncRNA from 1 species
CUUUAUGUCUCUUUGUAGUGACUUUAUGGCUCUUUGUAGUGACUUUGUCUCUUUGUAGUCACUUUGUAGUGACUUUGUGUAUCUUUGUAGUGAGUUUAUGUAUCUUUGUAGAAACUUUGUAGUGAGUUUGUGUAUCUUUGUAGCCACUUAGUGUCUCUUUGUAGUGACUUUAUGUAUCUUUGUAGUGAGUUUGUGUAUCUUUGUAGUGAGGUGGUCAUUUUAUUUACAUUCCAACAGCUCUUGUAGACGCCUGAGCCAGAUCUGUUCAGUAACACAUCCGAGGCCUGACCUCUGACCCUAACCAAGACGUCCUGUGGUCGUCUCCGCAGU